UACGUAGGGUGCGAGCGUUAAUCGGAAUUACUGGACGUAAAGCGUGCGCAGGCGGUUCUCCAAGUCCGUUGUGAAAGCCCCGGGCUCAACCUGGGAAUGGCAGUGGAAACUAGGGGACUUGAAUCUGGCAGAGGGGGGUGGAAUUCCACGUGUAGCAGUGAAAUGCGUAGAGAUGUGGAGGAACACCGAUGGCGAAGGCAGCCCCCUGGGCUGAGAUUGACGCUCAGGCACGAAAGCGUGGGGAGCAAACAGG
rnacentral:rRNA from 1 species